rnacentral:lncRNA from 1 species
GCUCAAAAUGGUGGUGAAGAAGGACACUGUCAACUGGGACCUCCAGCUCCUGGAGAUUCUCUCUCUGCAGAAGCGGGUAGAGUGGGCUCCUCCUGCCUGCCCACCACCCACCCACCCACCGGUGGAGAACGAGUCUGAAGAAUUGAAUCUUAGCUCAGAGGAGGCGUGUUCUGAGGACUCACAAGAGGAAGGAUUCUCAGACAGUGAUGAGAGUUUGCCGUCAGCCCCCUUUCCCCGAGACCCCUCUGAACUGUCCCCAACCGAGGAGCCGGAGAUCCUCACAGUUCUUGGCAGCUGUCUGUACUGUAACCAGCUCUCUGACAAGGGGAACGAUGACACUUUCAUCAUGAUGCAGUGUGACCAGUGUCAGGCCUGGGUUCACCAGCUGUGUGUGAUCCAGCAUCACAGAGACCAAAGCUGGAGAACCAAGUUCCAGUGCAGAGUCUGCGUCCAGAGCCAUCAGCCCUAGGCGCAGUCAGUCCCAGACCGAUGGAUGGAGGACCCCAGUGGGCUGCUGUGUGCCACAUAGGUGAGGCCUCCCUCCCCACCCAGCUGCUCCUGGUCUGGCCCGAAGAGAGAGCAGCGAACUUUGGGCUGGGCCGGCCAUGGGACCGACUCCCCUCAUGGGUCAUCGAACCACCAAAGGAGUGGCCGGCUUUCUGCUCCACUCUUUCCCCAGCAGUCCUGCAAGGCUUCCUGGGUAGGUGGGGAACUCAGAGGCUCUCCCAAGGCCUUCCUUACUCCAUGCCCUUCCCCUCCUGGGUCUCUCCUGAGCUUGCCAUGUUUCACCAGUGAUGCCUAGACUUACCCCAAGGAGGGCGGAAAGCCUCUGCAGGGUCCUGGUAAUGUCCAGGUGGAAUUCCUGUCUGCAUCUCCCUGAUUUCCAUGGUGAGACCUUAUGGGUGGGGCCUCCCUGGAUUCUGCCUUGCGGUUCCAGCAGGUCUGUCCACUAGCCCCCGCCCCUUCCCUUCCCUUUUUUAAUUUAGGAAACCCAUUCAAGCCCCCAAAAGGCUCCAUUGGACAUGAAAUGGAACUUUUUAUAAAUUGGAUUUGUCAUUCAUUUGGGUCUGACUCUUGCCGUCCCAUUUGGAGUUUUCUUGGGCUGGUUUGUUUGCCCUUUCCUUCUCUA